rnacentral:rRNA from 1 species
AUUGAACGCUGGCGGCAUGAUUUACACAUGCAAGUCGAACGGUAACAGGCCGCAAGGUGCUGACGAGUGGCGAACGGGUGAGUAAUGCAUCGGAACGUGCCCAGUCGUGGGGGAUAACUACUCGAAAGAGUAGCUAAUACCGCAUACGAUCUAUGGAUGAAAGCGGGGGACCGUAAGGCCUCGCGCGAUUGGAGCGGCCGAUGUCAGAUUAGGUAGUUGGUGGGGUAAAGGCUCACCAAGCCAACGAUCUGUAGCUGGUCUGAGAGGACGACCAGCCACACUGGAACUGAGACACGGCCCAGACUCCUACGGGAGGCAGCAGUGGGGAAUUUUGGACAAUGGGCGCAAGCCUGAUCCAGCAAUGCCGCGUGCAGGAAGAAGGCCUUCGGGUUGUAAACUGCUUUUGUACGGAACGAAACGGCUCUGGUUAAUACCCGGGGCUAAUGACGGUACCGUAAGAAUAAGCACCGGCUAACUACGUG